rnacentral:rRNA from 1 species
UACGUAGGGGGCAAGCGUUGUCCGGAUUUAUUGGGCGUAAAGAGCGUGUAGGCGGCCAGGUAGGUCCGUUGUGAAAACCCGAGGCUCAACCUCGGGCCUGCAGUGGGUACGGGCAGACUAGAGUGCGGUAGGGGAGAUUGGAAUUCCUGGUGUAGCGGUGGAAUGCGCAGAUAUCAGGAGGAACACCGAUGGCGAAGGCAGAUCUCUGGGCCGUAACUGACGCUGAGGAGCGAAAGCGUGGGGAGCGAACAGG